rnacentral:rRNA from 1 species
AAAGGGUGUAGGUAAGUCCGCACCCCGAGUCCGAAACGUGAUGGCGGUGCCUUAGAGCCACAAGUGAUUGAGCCAUGCCGCCUAGAAAAGCUUCUAAGCGUUGAUAUUUGAGUGACCGUACCGCAAACCGACACUGGUAGGUGGGUAGAAUAUACCAAGGGGAGCGAGAGAACCUUCGUUAAGGAAUUAGGCAAAUUUCCCCCGUACGUUCGCAAUAAGGGGGGCCUCUGGUGGUGAGCUUAAUCGCAAAGCUGCUGGAGGCCGCAGAGAAAUGGCUCUUCCAACUGUUUAACAAAAACACAGGUCUCUGCUAAGUCGAAAGACGAAGUAUAGGGGCUGACGCCUGCCCAGUGCUGGAAGGUUAAGGGGAGAGGUUAGGCGCAAGCCGAAGCUUUGAGCCGAAGCCCCAGUGAACGGCGGCCGUAACAAUAACGGUCCUAAGGUAGCGAAAUUCCUUGUCGGGUAAGUUCCGACCCGCACGAAUGGCGUAUGAGAGGAGCACUGUCUCAACGAGGGACUCGGCGAACAUUGAAGGACGUGUGAAGAUACACGUGACCCGCAGCGGGACAAAAAGACCCCGUGAAGCUUUACUACAACUUGCCAUUGAGUUAGGGCUAAACCUGUGUAGUAUAGGUGGGAGGCUUUGAAGCUGGGACGCCAGUCUCGGUGGAGCCACCGUUGAAAUACCACCCUGGUUUAUUCUUGGCUCUAACCUGUCGCCGUUAUCCGGCAUGGGAACAGUGGCUGGUGGGUAGUUUGACUGGGGCGGUCGCCUCCGAAAGCGUAACAGAGGCGCCCAAAGGUUCCCUCAGGCUGAAUGGAAACCAGCCGUUGAGUGUAAAGGCACAAGGGAGCUUGACUGCAAGACCAACAAGUCGCGCAGGGACGAAAGUCGGGCUUAGUGAUCCCACGGUUCAGAGUGGAAUGGCCGUGGCUUACCGGAUAAAAGCUACUCCGGGGAUAACAGGGUAGUCUGGUCCAAGAGUUCAUAUCGACGACCAGGUUCGCCACCUCGAUGUCGGCUCAUCACAUCCUGGGGCUGGAUAAGGUCCCAAGGGUUGGGCUGUUCGCCCAUUAAAGUGGUACGUGAGCUGGGUUCAGACCGUCGUGAGACAGGUCGGUCUCUAUCCGCUGUGGGCGUAAGGGAUUUGAGAGAAGCUGCCCCUAGUACGAGAGGACCGGGGUGGACGGACCUCUAGUGUGCCAGUUGUUCUGCCAAGAGCAUUGCUGGGUAGCUACGUCCGGCAGAGAUAACCGCUGAAAGCAUCUAAGUGGGAAACUCGUCUCAAGAUUAGAUCCCUCAUCCGUAUGGAGUAAGACCGCUAGAAGACGACUAGUUUGAUAGGCGGCAGGUGUAAGCGCAGUAAUGUGUUCAGCUUAGCCGUACUAAUGGUCGAGGGCUUACGUUG